UGUUGCACAAAAAUGGGAGGAGCAUGAGGGAAAAGCAUUUGAAAACAUAUCUGAAUUGGAAAUUGCAAAAUAAAUACAUCAGCAAAUAGUUUUGCAGACAAAGGAGACAGACAUAUGACUUGCAGAGAAAUGUCAGUUGCUCCAACUGACUGGAAUUGCUAUGAAACAUCGUGGGAGAAGCAUCUUUUUUGGAAAGCAACGUGGAGUCGUUCCAUUGCACUGACUGCAGAACAGGACAAUAAAGAAUGUUCUGGGUUUAGUUUUGGGACAUAAAUAUUUGUUGGAUAUGGUAAAUCUGGCAAUGAAAAACUCAGCAAAGUUCAUACAAAGCAGAGGAGCCUAGAGCAGCUGCAUGCAUACAGAAAAAGUGAAAUUCUUCAUGUGUCCAUAACAGUUCCUUUUCUAAAGUAUUUUGUUAAGGUCUUAAAAGCUUCCUGAUACAUUGAUUCAAUGAGCCAAGGCCAGUCAGGUUAGCUGAAGGUUUUUCCAUAGCAGGACAGUAAAGGAAGGAUGUGACACUUCAGCAACUUCUGCCUGACAUGCUUCUGGUUUUCUGGAGCCCAUCAGAAGUCCCUUAUCCUAAGGUAUCAACUGGACCUUCGGCUAUUCGAUAUCAAUAUAUGAUUUUCAAGGACACCACAGAGAAAUUUUCAUGUCAUGUGGAUGUGGAACAGCUGAGAACUCAUUUCCUGACCCCAGGCUUGUUACAUAGAUGGUAUUAUCAAAUAACCUGAUCAAUGGAAUAGAGUGUUAUUGCUGGGGAAGUCAGAUGGCAGUACAUAACCCCACUUCUUACUCAAGUGGAGGGGGCAACAGAUGCUUGAGGUGAGGAACUUAAAACUUGCAAUCAAAUAUACUGAUAUAUCAAAUAUAAUCAUCAUUUGCCUGCUGAAAAUUGCAAAACAAACAUCCCCCUCUCCUGUCCUUCUACCAGAAGUGAGAUUAAUUUAAAGUGUAAGGUAGGACUGUAAAAGUUACUCUCAAUGUCGUUGUUCUUGUGGCUUUAAACUGAUAUUAACUCUUUCACACACUUUUUUUGGAAGUAAAAAAAAGGCAUUAUAAAAGUUUUAAAGCAACCCAUGGUGAUGUAUCUUCAUUCUCUCAGAUGUAGCACAAGAUACAUAAUAAAGAAUAAAAGUUUACUCACUUGAAA